rnacentral:rRNA from 1 species
UACGUAGGUGGCAAGCGUUGUCCGGAUUUACUGGGCGUAAAGAGCGCGCAGGCGGUCGAAUAAGUCGAAUGUGAAAGCCCCCGGCUUAACUGGGGAGGGUCAUUCGAUACUGCUCGACUUGAAGGCAGGAGAGGGUAGUGGAAUUCCCGGUGUAGUGGUGAAAUGCGUAGAUAUCGGAAGGAACACCAGUGGCGAAAGCGGCUUCCUGGUCCAGCACCGACGUUCAGGCACGAAAGCGUGGGGAGCAAACAGG